UUGCUUUGCUCUUUUUUUCCCCACUCCUAGUCCUGGUAAGGGCUCCAUGCCAGACUGAUAUAUAUAUUUUAUGAUAACUAUAGAGAUGCACUUCAAACCUGACAAAGGACUUUGACAUUUUUAAGCAUCUCUUUGAUUAAUACAUGACCUUUUAAUGCUUUGGAUUAAAUUAAUAAAUCUUUUACAUUUAAACCCAUCCUGCUUGCAAUGUAAUGUUUUCUGUACGACCUCCUUUUCUCCCUGUGCGUGCAAGACAUCUGACCCUUCCCUCUGUCCUGCUCCCCCGGUGCACGCGCACACGCAUGGCAGAUACAUCAAUAUACAGGUUUGCAAUAUUCAUACGGUGCAAAGCCCUGCAAGGCGAGAACGGAGGGAUCCUCAUCGGUUUUGAACCGUCCCUAAAAAUAGCAAGAAAAUUCAAAGCUGACAUUCAGGGCGAGGGGAUGAGGAAGCCUGCAAAGUUGCUCACUCAGCCAACAGCAAUUGCAGCGAUCCUGUCUGCGUGUGCAGAUUCCUCUGCUGACCGGGCUGGAGUGCAGGCCUCCUCUUUGUACAGUUUCCAGGAGUCUGGAAGCGAUACAGAUGGGUCCCGAUCCUCAUCUGGGAGCACCGAGUCCUUCCAGUACCCGAUCCAAGCCUGCCGAUCCCGCUCGGGCACACGGAUCCGGAGCUGGCUGCUCCCCUUUUCGGAUGCGACGUGUCAUAACACGAAGGCCGGUGGCGGUCCCCGCUGCUCGGCGCUCUCCGGCUUGACCUCGGCCUGUCCCAGCACCCGGAAAGCGGGAUUUACUCCUCGCUGCCUGUUGAUACAGAAACACGCAUCAAAACCAAACCUGCAACACGUGUGCGAGGCGGAGGGUUGCUAUAAAGCCAGGUGCUGUGUCUCUCCCUGCACCCAUGUGUUAUUUCAUCGAUGACUCACGUGUUAUUAGCAGCCAAGCAAUAUUCCCAAUUCCCUGGAGUUAACCCUUCACUCGUCACUCACAAAAACACAAUGUCAUAACAAACAUCAGUGGUAUUAUCUACUUUA
rnacentral:lncRNA from 1 species